rnacentral:rRNA from 1 species
AUGGACGGACGCAUCAAACAACUAAAGCGCCCACUACUGGCCUUGCCGGCUAGCCCCAGGACCAUACGUGCCGCGCUAGCUAGGACAGCGACGCCAUGCAUAUAUGCUCGCUCUUUCGUCUCUUCGCCUUGCCCUUGGCGUGUGCGUGUUUCUCCUGCACCAUUGGCCACGACGGAACGGGUCGGGGUCGGGGUCGGCCGGUCGCGCUCGCCGCUCCGCCGUGUCUGUCUCACUCCCGCCCCGGGCGGGGGGACGCGCGAUGCCCCGGCGCGCUGCGUCCACCACCCGGAGUGGAAAGCGAGGCGGGCGUGCAUGGCGGCAGGAAAAGCUGGGGCGCGAGGCGACGGGUGGCGGAGUGCCGGAGUGAGUGACAGAAAGUGA